rnacentral:SRP_RNA from 1 species
AAAAUGCGACAACUGCGCUAGGCUGGGCACAGAGCAGUGGCUACACCACUGUGAACGCGGUGGGGGAUGAUGCCGGUGUUGUGUGCUAUCA